rnacentral:rRNA from 1 species
AAUAGAUACCCAGGUAGUCCACGCCGUAAACGAUGAGUGCUAAGUGUUAGAGGGUUUCCGCCCUUUAGUGCUGCAGCUAACGCAUUAAGCACUCCGCCUGGGGAGUACGGUCGCAAGACUGAAACUCAAAGGAAUUGACGGGGGCCCGCACAAGCGGUGGAGCAUGUGGUUUAAUUCGAAGCAACGCGAAGAACCUUACCAGGUCUUGACAUCCCACUGACCGGUAUAGAGAUAUACCUUUCCCUUCGGGGACAGUGGUGACAGGUGGUGCAUGGUUGUCGUCAGCUCGUGUCGUGAGAUGUUGGGUUAAGUCCCGCAACGAGCGCAACCCUUGAUCUUAGUUGCCAGCAUUUAGUUGGGCACUCUAAGGUGACUGCCGGUGACAAACCGGAGGAAGGUGGGGAUGACGUCAAAUCAUCAUGCCCCUUAUGACCUGGGCUACACACGUGCUACAAUGGAUGGUACAAAGGGCUGCAAGACUGCGAAGUCAAGCCAAUCCCAUAAACCGAUUCUCAGUUCGGAUUGC